CAGCCGCCGCGGUAAUACGAAGGGGGCUAGCGUUGCUCGGAAUCACUGGGCGUAGAGGGUGCGUAGGCGGGUCUUUAAGUCAGGGGUGAAAUCCUGGAGCUCAACUCCAGAACUGCCUUUGAUACUGAAGAUCUUGAGUUCGGGAGAGGUGAGUGGAACUGCGAGUGUAGAGGUGAAAUUCGUAGAUAUUCGCAAGAACACCAGUGGCGAAGGCGGCUCACUGGCCCGAUACUGACGCUGAGGCACGAAAGCGUGGGGAGCAAACAGGAUUAGAUACCCCUGUAGUCCCUGUCUCUUAUAC
rnacentral:rRNA from 1 species